GACGAACGCUGGCGGCGUGCUUAACACAUGCAAGUCGAACGGAAAGGCCUGCUUUCCUUUGUGGCUUGCGGGUACUCGAGUGGCGAACGGGUGAGUAACACGUGAGUGAUCUGCACCCAACUUGGGUAUAAGCCUGGGACACUGGGUCUAAUUCUCGAUAGGACUGCAGGGUGGUGCCUGUGGUGGAAAACGAUUUUCUAGUGGUUGGGGAUGAGCUCGUGGCCUUUCUGCUUGUUGGUGGGGUAAUGGCCUACCAUGGCGACGACGGGUAGCCGAGCUGAGGAGGAGGACGGGGACAGUGAGACUGAGCGGCGGCCCAGACACCGACGGGAGGCAGCGGUGGGGAAGAGAGGACGCUGGGGGGAAGCCUGCAGCAGCGACGCCGCGUGGAGGAUGACGGGCUGCGGGUGGUAAGCACCUUUCGGGCGCGAAGAAGUCACCUGGUUGGGAGGAUGGUGACGGUAGUGGUAGAAGAAGCACCGGCUAACUACGUG
rnacentral:rRNA from 1 species